AUUGAACGCUGGCGGCAUGCUUUACACAUGCAAGUCGAACGGCAGCACGAAAGAGCUUGCUCUUUUGGUGGCGAGUGGCGAACGGGUGAGUAAUGCAUCCGAACGUACCGAGUAAUGGGGGAUAACUGUCCGAAAGGAUAGCUAAUACCGCAUACGCUUUGAGAAGGAAAGUGGGGGCUCUUCGGACCUCACGUUAUUCGAGCGGCCGAUGUCUGAUUAGCUAGUUGGUGGGGUAAAGGCCUACCAAGGCGACGAUCAGUAGCGGGUCUGAGAGGAUGAUCCGCCACACUGGGACUGAGACACGGCCCAGACUCCUACGGGAGGCAGCAGUGGGGAAUUUUGGACAAUGGGCGCAAGCCUGAUCCAGCCAUGCCGCGUGUCUGAAGAAGGCCUUCGGGUUGUAAAGGACUUUUGUUAGGGAAGAAAAGGAUAGUGUUAAUACCAUUAUCUGCUGACGGUACCUAAAGAAUAAGCACCGGCUAACUACGUG
rnacentral:rRNA from 1 species